CCAGGCGCUGUCAGAGCUGUACAGGCACAGAGCCAGAGCGCAGCCGUGCUGGUAGAUGGCCACGCCCACGUAGUCCAGGAAGAACAGAGAGUAAUGCGCUUGCUCCGAGUGGGACUGCAACAGCUCAGGUAUGUGACAGCUGACAAAACGUAGAGGACCAGAGGCAGCGAGGAGACGUCCACAGAAAACCCCUGACCUUCGGGACCCUGCAGCCGAAAACCCAGGAUCCCCUGAGGAGGUCAAAGCUCCACGGUGACAGCGAUCUGCCGUGGAUGUUCCCGUUUCCUUCAGACAAGGAGGAGACCUCUGAGGAGAACGCCAACAUGGAGUCACAACCAGGGGGAGGAGGAGGAGCUUUAACCCUGGAGGAGGAGCAGACGAC